rnacentral:rRNA from 1 species
AGAGUUUGAUCCUGGCUCAGAUUGAACGCUGGCGGAAUGCUUUACACAUGCAAGUCGAACGGCAGCACGGACUUCGGUCUGGUGGCGAGUGGCGAACGGGUGAGUAAUACAUCGGAACGUGCCCAGUCGUGGGGGAUAACGUAGCGAAAGCUACGCUAAUACCGCAUACGAUCUACGGAUGAAAGCGGGGGAUCGCAAGACCUCGCGCGAUUGGAGCGGCCGAUGGCAGAUUAGGUAGUUGGUGGGGUAAAGGCUCACCAAGCCGACGAUCUGUAGCUGGUCUGAGAGGACGACCAGCCACACUGGGACUGAGACACGGCCCAGACUCCUACGGGAGGCAGCAGUGGGGAAUUUUGGACAAUGGGCGCAAGCCUGAUCCAGCCAUUCCGCGUGCAGGACGAAGGCCUUCGGGUUGUAAACUGCUUUUGUACAGAACGAAAAGCUCUGGGUUAAUACCCUGGGGUCAUGACGGUACUGUAAGAAUAAGCACCGGCUAACUACGUACCAGCAGCCGCGGUAAU